rnacentral:rRNA from 2 species
UCGACCUGAGAUCAGACGAGAUUACCCGCUGAACUUAAGCAUAUA